AUGCCGCUAGGUGUCAUGAAGCUCAAAAGAAUCCAUUACCAGCCCAUUUUUGACAAGCUGCAUAAGAAGACCAAGGGGUGGAACAAGCUGCACAUGUCGAUUUCCGAUCGGGUUGCUCUGAUCAGAUCGGUCCUAUAUGCUAUCCCCACAUUCCAGUUGUUGGCGAUCGACCCAAAUCCGUGGAUGGUUAAGAAGAUUGACAAGCUCUGCCGUGGGUUCCUCUGGGCCAACAAAGAUGAAGCCCCUGGUGGGAAAUGUCUGAUAAAUUGGAAGCAGGUAUGCCUGCCUCGUGCCAUGGGCGGCCUAGGCAUGCCUAGCCUGGGAUACAAGAGCUUGGCCCUGAGAUGCAGAUGGCUUUGGUUAUCUUGGAUGGAUCGAUCCAAGCCAUGGAUUGGGCUUCCCCUGCCUGUCGACCGGACCAUGCGACAACUUUUCGAGGUGUCGGUGGACUUCUCAAUUGGGGAUGGCAUGAUCACACAAUUCUGGACUGACCCAUGGCUGCGGCGUCAAAGUCUAUGCACAACUUACCCCGACCUUUUUGGCCAGUGCACCCUCCGGCGCAUAACCAUUGCUGCGGCUUUGCAUAAUGACAAGUGGAUGAGACAUUUCAAGGCCAACAUGACUGCUGACGCGCUCCUCCAGUUCACAAACCUAUGGCAUGACCUUCAAGCAGUGCACCUAAAUCCAGAUCAGCAGGACUCAAUCUCAUGGAGAUGGACGGCCAAUGGUGUUUACAGCGCAGCCUCUGUGAACAAAAUUCUCUUUGCAGCAACCAUCAAGCAGGACUUUGCCAAAAUGGCCUGGAACUCCGAGGCCCCGCCGAAGUGCCAGUUCUUCGUUUGGCUGGCGAUUCAAGGACGUUGCCUUACGGCUGAUAACCUUGCCAAGCGUGGCUGGCCACAUAACCCAACAUGUUUGCUAUGCCAACAAACUCCAGAGCCAGAGACGGCGAUGCACAUAUUGGCGAACUGCCCAUUUGCGCAAGGGUUGUGGCUUCGAGUGCUUGACUUGUUGAUGAUGCCGAGCGACAUGGCGCCACUGCCCACAGAUGAUACCCUCCUUGGCUGGAUGACACGCACUUCGGGUAGGCUCAGGAAGGACGCCAAAAAAACUUGGAGAUCGAUCAGUGCGCUCAUUUGGUGGUCACUACGGAAGGAACGAAAUGCCCAUGUCUUCAGCCAACAAGCCUCUACGAUUGGUCAGGUUCUUUCCAACAUACAGGAGGAAGCAAAGAUCUGGAUCGAUGCUGGGAGACGUCGGGUGAUAGCACUGAUUGAAAGGCCAAGGGAGCCUGAUUGA
rnacentral:rRNA from 1 species